rnacentral:rRNA from 1 species
GAUGAACGCCGGCGGCGUGCCUAAUACAUGCAAGUCGAGCGAACGGACGAGAAGCUUGCUUCUCUGAUGUUAGCGGCGGACGGGUGAGUAACACGUGGAUAACCUACCUAUAAGACUGGGAUAACUUCGGGAAACCGGAGCUAAUACCGGAUAAUAUUUUCAACCGCAUGGUUCAAAAGUGAAAGACGGUCUUGCUGUCACUUAUAGAUGGAUCCGCGCUGCAUUAGCUAGUUGGUAAGGUAACGGCUUACCAAGGCAACGAUGCAUAGCCGACCUGAGAGGGUGAUCGGCCACACUGGAACUGAGACACGGUCCAGACUCCUACGGGAGGCAGCAGUAGGGAAUCUUCCGCAAUGGGCGAAAGCCUGACGGAGCAACGCCGCGUGAGUGAUGAAGGUCUUCGGAUCGUAAAACUCUGUUAUUAGGGAAGAACAUAUGUGUAAGUAACUGUGCACAUCUUGACGGUACCUAAUCAGAAAGCCACGGCUAACUACGUG